ACACAACCCUUCUCUUUUAUACGGGCUUGGGACUGACUAUACAAUAUAGGCGGAGUUAUAAUCAUCCUGCUUCCAAGUUUCAUGACCAAGUUAACACAACGUUGGCCUAUCUCCAUCCAAUUAACUGCUCAAGAGAGAGAAAAGUCCAUGUGGUGUUUGACAUGACGACAAUCCCUGCCUUCUUGAUUGUUCUGGGGUGCCUUUACUUGGUACUGAGGCCAAGGCGACCUAAACCAAAGAUUAAUUAAGAUUUCCGGCCACAAUUAUGAACUUCAAUCAAUUCUUGUUCGGAUUGUUACAACUGUUUCCCCGAGUGUAAUAGUUCAGUCUUCGUGUAAAAGGCAUUAUAGGUUGGGCAUCAAUAUACCCCCCCGAAAACAAAAGGGGCUAAUUGAAAUAAGUAAUAGAGGGCUGCUUUAUAGUUUGGGGAUCAGUUGCCGAAACUAGUGAGAGAAGGGUGACAAUGAGAGAGAGUCGAGGUCAUGAAUGUGUAAACCAUUUUGAUUUUGACCAUAGGACUCACAAAUAUCGGUUGGGCAGGAUUGUUCAUAGGUCUGAUUUGGCUUGAUUUUGUUGAUCAUACUGCUCUAAUCAAAGUAGGAAAUCUAUAGAUAUAUUUGGUUUUGCCUUCCAAA